GCUAUACCUGAAACCUUGGGGACUUGGAGAAGGCUUUUGGGAGAAAACCUUCCUCUAACAUAAUUCCAAACCCUUUUGCCUUCGCACCUUUCAUCUUCCAUAAACCUUUCUAAAAGAACAUGGAACUUCUGAAAUUCUCCAGCAAUCUUAUCGUAAAACACCCCAUUUUGAGAUCUAGAAUUAGCAAGAGCUUCAAGCUUUCUGUACUGAUGGUGAAGAGCUUCCCACGACAGGCAUGACUGUGCUACAUAAACCAGCUCGAAAUCGCUUUCUAAACUCCUUAGCAGCCUUUUCCUAACUGUUUUGCUCCAUGACAUGUAAGGGAAGACAGAGAAAUCCACAGGCUCAAUGCUGUCAAAAGAAUUUGGAGUCCCGACUAUUUGCUCGUUCAGGAUUGCAUUUAUUCCACAUGUUCGAUCGUAAUUGAGGACAUCGAACCAUCUCAUUCUUUGGGUGUACAUACUGUAGAAUGCAUCUAAAUCUUGGUCCUCAAGUCCAUUCUUAGGGUCUUCUCUUUCAACUACUGCUGCUAAGUUAAAGCUGCAAAUGGAUUCUGAAUAUUCAUUCAUGUCUUGAUCUUCAGGCUCUGGAUUAGAGCAGAAAACCGAUGAUGAAUAUUCGUUCGUGUCAAGAUUUUCUGAUGCUGGUGAAUUGGAGCUACAAACUGAUGGUAUGCACCGGUUUAAAUUUGCAUCUUUU
rnacentral:misc_RNA from 1 species